rnacentral:misc_RNA from 1 species
UCCCCGUUCUCCUGGGCCGUAUUUCUACGGCUUUCCAGUGCAUGUCAAGCCUUGGUAAGGUUCUUCGCGUCGCGUCGAAUUAAACAACAUGCUCCGCUGCUUGUGCGGGCCCCCGUCAAUUCCUUUGAGUUUUAGCCUUGCGGCCGUACUCCCCAGGCGGGGUGCUUAAUGCGUUAGCUUCGGCACGGAGGGAGUCGACACCCCCCACACCUAGCACCCAUCGUUUACGGCGUGGACUAC